CUCCAGGUACAGGGUUGGAGAGAUAUAAUGUAAUGAGGCUCAUCCAUAUGGUUUCUAGGUUAGCUCCAGGUACAGGGUUGGAGAGAUGUAAUGUAAUGAAGCUCAUCCAUAUGGUUUCUAGGUUAGCUCCAGGUACAGGGUUGGAGAGAUAUAAUGUAAUGAGGCUCAUCCAUAUGGUUUCUAGGUUAGCUCCAGGUACAGGGUUGGAGAGAUAUAAUGUAAUGAAGCUCAUCCAUAUGGUUUCUAGGUUAGCUCCAGGUACAGGGUUGGAGAGAUGUAAUGAAGCUCAUCCAUAUGGUUUCUAGGUUAGCUCCAGGUACAGGGUUGGAGAGAUAUAAUGAAGCUCAUCCAUAUGGUUUCUAGGUUAGCUCGAGGUACAGGGUUGGAGAGAUGUAAUGAAGCUCAUCCAUAUGGUUUCUAGGUUAGCUCCAGGUACAGGGUUGGAGAGAUAUAAUGAAGCUCAUCCAUAUGGUUUCUAGGUUAGCUCCAGGUACAGGGUUGGAGAGAUGUAAUGAAGCUCAUCCAUAUGGUUUCUAGGUUAGCACCAGG